rnacentral:rRNA from 1 species
AACAGCCGCGGUAAUUCCAACUCCAAUAGCGUAUAUUAAAGUUGUUGCAGUUAAAAAGCUCGUAAGUUGAAUUUCGGGGUCAGUAGUUUGGUCGUGCCACUGGUAUGUACUGGGCUCACUGAUUCCUCCUUCCUGAUGAACUGUAAUGCCAUUAAUUUGGUGUUGCAGGGAAACUGGACUGUUACUUUGAAAAAAUUAGAGUGUUUAAAGCAAGCUAACGCUUGAAUACAUUAGCAUGGAAUAAUGAAAUAGGACGUUCGAUCCUAUUUCGUUGGUUUCUAGGAUUGACGUAAUGAUUAAUAGGGAUAGUUGGGGGCACUAGUAUUCAAUUGUCAGAGGUGAAAUUCUUGGAUUUAUUGAAGACUAACUACUGCGAAAGCAUUUGCCAAGGAUGUUUUCUAUUAAUCAAGAACGAAAGUUAGGGGAGUCGAAGACGAUCAGAUACCGUCGUAGUCUUAACCAUAAACUAUGCCGACUAGGGAUCGGAUGAUGUUAAUUUUUUAAUGACUCAUUCGGCGCC